AACGAACGCUGGCGGCAUGCCUAACACAUGCAAGUCGAACGAUCCCUUCGGGGAUAGUGGCGCACGGGUGCGUAACGCGUGGGAAUCUGCCCUCAGGUACGGAAUAACUCAGGGAAACUUGAGCUAAUACCGUAUAAUGACUUCGGUCCAAAGAUUUAUCGCCUGGGGAUGAGCCCGCGUCGGAUUAGCUAGUUGGUGAGGUAAAAGCUCACCAAGGCGACGAUCCGUAGCUGGUCUGAGAGGAUGAUCAGCCACACUGGGACUGAGACACGGCCCAGACUCCUACGGGAGGCAGCAGUGGGGAAUAUUGGACAAUGGGCGCAAGCCUGAUCCAGCAAUGCCGCGUGAGUGAUGAAGGCCUUAGGGUUGUAAAGCUCUUUUACCCGGGAAGAUAAUGACUGUACCGGGAGAAUAAGCCCCGGCUAACUCCGUGCCAGCAGCCGCGGUAAUACGGAGGGGGCUAGCGUUGUUCGGAAUUACUGGGCGUAGAGCGCACGGU
rnacentral:rRNA from 1 species